AUUUAAGUAGUUUAAAUAAUAAAAUAUUGAUUUGUGGUGUCAAAGAUGUAUAUUAUACCUUAAAUU
rnacentral:tRNA from 1 species